rnacentral:rRNA from 1 species
GGUCCAGACUCCUACGGGAGGCAGCAGUGGGGAAUAUUGCACAAUGGGGGAAACCCUGAUGCAGCGACGCCGCGUGGGCGAGGAAGUACCUCGGUAUGUAAAGCCCUAUCAGCAGGGAAGAAACAGGACAGUACCUGACUAAGAAGCCCCGGCUAACUACGUGCCAGCAGCCGCGGUAAUACGUAGGGGGCGAGCGUUAUCCGGAUUCACUGGGUGUAAAGGGAGCGUAGACGGCCAUGCAAGCCAGGGGUGAAAGCCCGGGGCCCAACCCCGGGACUGCCCUUGGAACUGCAUGGCUGGAGUGCGGGAGGGGCAGGCGGAAUUCCUGGUGUAGCGGUGAAAUGCGUAGAUAUCAGGAGGAACACCGGCGGCGAAGGCGGCCUGCUGGACCGCGACUGACGUUGAGGCUCGAAAGCGUGGGGAGCGAACAGGAUUAGAUACCCUUGUA